UACGUAGGUCCCGAGCGUUGUCCGGAUUUAUUGGGCGUAAAGCGAGCGCAGGUGGUUUAAUAAGUCUGAUGUAAAAGGCAGUGGCUCAACCAUUGUGUGCAUUGGAAACUGUUAGACUUGAGUGCAGUAGAGGAGAGUGGAAUUCCAUGUGUAGCGGUGAAAUGCGUAGAUAUAUGGAGGAACACCGGUGGCGAAGGCGGCUUCCUGGCCUGUUACUGACGCUGAGGCGCGAAAGCGUGGGGAGCAAACAGG
rnacentral:rRNA from 1 species